rnacentral:rRNA from 1 species
AUUGAACGCUGGCGGCAGGCCUAACACAUGCAAGUCGAGCGGAUGAAGGGAGCUUGCUCCUGGAUUCAGCGGCGGACGGGUGAGUAAUGCCUAGGAAUCUGCCUGGUAGUGGGGGAUAACGUCCGGAAGCGGGUGCUACUACCGCAUACGUCCUGCGGGAGAAAGAGGGGGAUCUUCGGACCUCACGCUAUCAGAUGAGCCUAGGUCGGAUUAGCUAGUUGGUGGGGUAAAGGCCUACCAAGGCGACGAUCCGUAACUGGUCUGAGAGGAUGAUCAGUCACACUGGAACUGGGACACGGUCCAGACUCCUACGGGAGGCAGCAGUGGGGAAUAUUGGACAAUGGGCGAAAGCCUGAUCCAGCCAUGCCGAGUGUGUGAAGAAGGUCUUCGGAUUGUAAAGCACUUUAAGUUGGGAGGAAGGGCAGUAAGUUAAUACCUUGCUGUUUUGACGUUACCAACAGAAUAAGCACCGGCUAACUUCGUG